AUCACAAUUUUUCCUUAUGAUUUCCAAACAGAACUGGGAAGGACAAGUCCUCUUUGUCCUGGUGAUAAAGCUGCAAAGAUUAGAAUUAGGACCAUUCAUCAGGCUGUUCUAUCUUUGCCUUCCCUAUGGUUUAGUGAUCUUAAGCCAACCUGUGCAUUGAUUCCUUUUGGAAAAUGUAUGGUUACUCAAUACUUUGGACUUGAAAGCCUUUAGGAGAGCAAAGUUCC
rnacentral:lncRNA from 1 species